CGUCCCAAGAAGAUGGACCUACCUUGUGUUACGCUACCUACAAACACUACUCCUACUUCAUUAGGAUAGUAUGUUCCUAUUUACUUUGCCAGUAUAUUCCUUGGAAAAGCCGGGCCCCAACCCUUACGAUAAUGCAAUAGCUUAGCUCCCAUUGGCCAUCCUUUGGCAAGUACGCUUUUGUUGUCGGACCUCUUAAUUAAGUGGAAAAAGGCCAUGCAUGGAGGCCGUUACAUGGGAACUUCUGCAGUGGUAUGCUCUUAAGAUAUUCA
rnacentral:lncRNA from 1 species